GAGUCGUAACAAGGUUUCCGUAGGUGAACCUGCGGAAGGAUCAUUAAUGGGUUAACGCCUCCGGGCACAGUCCCCACCCUUUGUAACCGCGGCCCGGAUUCGGCGCCUGGCGGGGACCACCCCCCGUUCGCGGGGGGCCCCGCCUGCCGGAAUUAGCCAACCCUGCCUAGAAAUUGAAGUCUGAGAACAAGUUAAAUUAAACAAA
rnacentral:misc_RNA from 1 species